rnacentral:rRNA from 1 species
CCUACGGGUGGCUGCAGUGGGGAAUAUUGGACAAUGGGGGGAACCCUGAUCCAGCCAUGCCGCGUGUGUGAAGAAGGCCCUCGGGUUGUAAAGCACUUUCAGUGAGGAAGAACGCCUGGUGGUUAAUACCCAUCAGGAAGACAUCACUCACAGAAGAAGCACCGGCUAACUCCGUGCCAGCAGCCGCGGUAAUACGGAGGGUGCGAGCGUUAAUCGGAAUUACUGGGCGUAAAGCGCGCGUAGGUGGCUUGAUAAGCCGGUUGUGAAAGCCCCGGGCUCAACCUGGGAACGGCAUCCGGAACUGUCAAGCUAGAGUGCAGGAGAGGAAGGUAGAAUUCCCGGUGUAGCGGUGAAAUGCGUAGAGAUCGGGAGGAAUACCAGUGGCGAAGGCGGCCUUCUGGACUGACACUGACACUGAGGUGCGAAAGCGUGGGUAGCAAACAGGAUUAGAUACCCCUGUAGUC